rnacentral:lncRNA from 1 species
CCGCAGCUCCCUGGAUGCAACAAGGAGCACAAUAACGUCUCUUCUUCCAAUGGAAAUUAUUCUUCAAGGAAUUUUCAUUUUUCAACAUUAUUUCUCCACAUGUUUCCUGGCUUCUCUUCAGAGCUCCUGACAUUCAUGCUGCUAGAUUCCUCCUGACCAGGUAAAAAGAAGUCAAUGAACUUAUUUGAACUUUUGAGAUAGAAACUUAUUUUUGUUGAAAUAUAUGCAUGCAUUCUAUCUGGAC